AUUGAACGCUGGCGGCAUGCCUUACACAUGCAAGUCGAACGGCAGCACGGGAGCAAUCCUGGUGGCGAGUGGCGAACGGGUGAGUAAUAUAUCGGAACGUGCCCAGUAGUGGGGGGAUAACUGCUCGAAAGAGCAGCUAAUACCGCAUACGACCUGAGGGUGGAAGGGGGGGGAUCGCAAGACCUCUCGCUAUUGGAGCGGCCGAUAUCAGAUUAGCUAGUUGGUGGGGUAAAGGCCUACCAAGGCAACGAUCUGUAGUUGGUCUGAGAGGACGACCAGCCACACUGGGACUGAGACACGGCCCAGACUCCUACGGGAGGCAGCAGUGGGGAAUUUUGGACAAUGGGCGCAAGCCUGAUCCAGCAAUGCCGCGUGCAGGAAGAAGGCCUCGGUUGUAAC
rnacentral:rRNA from 1 species